ACCUUGGUGACCUAGGCUAGUACCAGGUCCCCCUCUAAGGGACUUGUCCCCCUCUAAGGGACUUGCGUCGGUCCUAUCCUAGGCCGAAUAGGUGAAUAAAUACUUACGGACGGCCUUGGUCUGUCCUAGAGGUUAUCAACAUAUGAACUCUUAGAGAAAUUACUUAAUAAACGAAGUGAAUUGAAAUAUCUUAUUAACUUCAGGAAAAGAAAUCAAACGAGAUUCUAUGAUUAGUGUGAACGAAAAUAGAGCAGCCUAUUAAAAUAAGUAAAAUGGCUUUAAAGCUGUUUGAAUAUUGUGGGGAACCUUCCUCAAAGGCUAAAUAUAAUACAUGAGUUACAGAGAAAAGUACCGUGAGGGAAAGCUUUGAAAUAGUAGUUUUAUAAGCAGCUCAAGCAAUAAGAAAGCGAGAGCGUACCUUUUGCAUAAUGGGUCACCAAGUUAAUUUUAGAUGCGAGCGAAUUUAUUUAUGUUUUUACUGAUUAAACAAUAUAAUGAAUCAUAAUUAUUUUUGUAACGAGUAUUAGUAUUAAAUCUUAAUUUAAUAUUAGUAUAAGUUUUCAGUAUGGCGGCUACAUAGCAUAAUCUAUGCAGCCAGCCAAUAAUUGGAUUUCCAAUCCAAUUUCGGUAAUAAAUAGAUGUGCAUAGUUAAACCGAUCAUUAAAAUAAUGAAUAGUGUCUAAAGUUAGACCCGAAGCCUGGUGAUCUUACUAUAGUCAGGACUAUAAAGGUCCGAACGGGUUAUCGUUGCAAAGAUAUCCGAAGAACUAUGGUAAGCGAGUGAAAGACAACACUGACUAGGAUAGCUGGUUUUCUGCGAAACCUAUAAUAGUAGGCAAUUUAAGUAACAUCUUAGUAGGUACAGAACUUAAUCUCAGACAAGAUGUAGAUUUUCAUACCUAUGUUUAGGUAUGAAAUGCAUUUUUUUUUGUAUACAUCGGGGGAUCGUGAAGAUUUUAUCGGUGAGUAUGUAGACUCGGAAUGACAAAGAUGAAUCUUGAAUAAUCAGACAUAGAAUGAUAAGGUUGUAUGUCAAAAGGGAAACAGCCCAGAACAAGAGUUAAGGUUCCAAAAUUAUUAUUAAGUGAAAUAAAGAAAGUUUUUAUAUAAGUCGACAAGAAGAUGGGCUUGGAAGCAGCCAUAAUUUAAAGAUCUCGUAACAGAGCACUUGUUAAAUCUUAAAAGCAUCGAAAAUUUAACGGAUCUAAAUAAUAUACCGAAACCUUGUCCAUAUGUAACAUUAGUAAUAAUAUGCUAUUAAUGUUAUUUGAUGGGGUAGCAGAACGUUGAGUGAAUCUUAGAUUUUUUUUUUUUUUUUUUUAUAACUAAAUAUAGAUGAUAACUCAAGUGAGAAUGGUGACAUGAGUAACAAAAAAGAGUUUAAGGUACCUAAAAGGUAUCUUAGAGUCUCGCCUAAAGCUUAUGGCUACGUCAAGUAACGGCCUCUAAGUUUAUAAUCUGAAGAUUAUGACGAUGAGAAAAUAACGCGCAGAAGUGCGCUGCUUUGAUACUUAUGGUACCAACAUUUAAAAGUGAAAAUUGUGCAGGAAGGAUCAGUAUCCUUUCAUUCUUAUGUGGGGGAGUGGACAAAACUGAACAGAGUGUAUCUGAACACAGAUGAGUCCACACCCCCCCCCAUGUAAUGAAUGAAUGACAAACCGUACCUAGAAUCUGAAACAAGUAAGCUAGUAGAGAAUACGAAGGCGUGAAUGAGAUAACAAUCAUAAAGGAACUCGGCAAACUAACUACCGUAACUUAGGGAUAAGGAGAGCUCAUUAGUCUCGAUUAAUACGAGUAAAAAGGAAGAAGCAUGGAAUAUUGUUGUACGACUGUUUAAUUAAAACAAAGCACUUUGCAAAAAGACGAUAAGUCUAAGUAUUGAGUGUGAUUUCUGCCCGAUGCCGGCUGGUUAACGAAUUUUCUAAAUUGAAAAAAAAUUUGGUUUCAGAGGAACCCCCGGUUAAUGGCGGCCUUAGCGUGAGGGUCCUAAGGUAGCGAAAUGCCUUGGCCGUUAAAUGCGGUCUUGCAUGAAUGAUGUAACGAUACAACAGCUGUCUCUAUGAUUGACUCAGUGAAAUUGGAAUAACUGUGCAGAUACAGUUUACCUCUAGUUAGACGAGAAGACCCUAUGCAGCUUUACUGUUACUAAUUAUUGAAUACGAUUCUGAAAAUUUCCAGUGUAAAAGGUAAUCGAUAAGAUAUAAUUGAAACACCUUUAUUUUUCUAUCGUAUUAUUAAACCUUAAAUUAAGGAACAAUUGUUAGAAGACAGUUUAUGCGGGGCACAGGCCCCAUAAAGAGUAAAUGGGUGUGUCUAAAAUUUAUAAAUUUAUGUUUGCAAUUUUUUAUAGUGAUUAUAUAUCAAAUCAUCUUUAUGCUAUUCAUAGAGUGUAUUUAUUAUAUUCCUUGGGUACAGUAUAAAAAUUAUAUAUGUAUUAAUUUACAUAUAUUUUUUCUAAGAAAUUAGGUAAGAUUUUGUUUAUAGAGAAAUUAGAUGUAAAAAAAAAAUCUUAUGAGGGCGGUAUUUAAUAAUCCGCUUCUAAUAUUUUUUUGUAGUUAUUAUUAUAAAUUUAAUAAUAAUCAUGUUUAUUACUUAAAAAGCUUAAUGGCUUAAUCUUGCCUUACUGUUUGAUUAACAACAAAUCUUACAGUCGCGUAAGCGGGGCAUAGGAUCACAAGAUACAAAAAGGAAAGAUCUUGGAUUUUUGGAAAAGCUACGCUAGGGAUGAACAGGCUAAUUUGCGCAAGAGUGUACAAAAUGAGUGCGCGGUUUGGCACCUCGAUGUCGGCUUGACUAAUCCUCAUGGAUGCAGAAACUAUGUAGGGUACGACUGUUCGUCGAUUAAAAAGUUACAUGAGCUGGGUUAAAUACGUCGUGAGACAGUAUGGUUUCUAUCUUCUAGAGGGAAUUAGAAUAUAAUAAGGAUUAACCUUUGUACGAAAGGAACAUGGGGUACUAUUGUUAUACCUAGUUGUAUAACAGUUUUAUUAACCUCUGGUUUACCUGUUGUUUAUGUGCCUUAUAUUAAUUUCAUGUGUGAUGCUCCGCAAGGAUAUUACAGGGAUGUUACCGUCACUUGAGUAAAUACAAUAGCAUAAGCAUGGCAGGAAAGCUAAGUUAGUCAAAAAUAAGUGCUGAAAGCAUAUAGGCACGAAAUUUACCUUAAGAUAUUUCUUAAAUAUACGUAAGAAAAUAUUACGUUAAUAGGCUUAGUUUGUAAUAAUCUAGAGAUUUUAAGGAACUAAGUACUAAUUUUAUAAAAAACUGAAUGAUUAAUAU
rnacentral:rRNA from 1 species